UUAUUGAUAUGCUUAAGUUCAGCGGGUAUCCCUACCUGAUCCGA
rnacentral:rRNA from 1 species